AAUGAGCGGAUGGUGGCGACGGCGCACGGGUGAGUAACGCGUAUGCAACCUACCUACAACAGGGGAAUAACCCGUUGAAAGACGGACUAAUACCCCAUAACACAGGGAUCCCGCAUGGGAAUAUUUGUUAAAGAUUUAUCGGUUGUAGAUGGGCAUGCGUUCCAUUAGCUAGUUGGUGAGGUAACGGCUCACCAAGGCAACGAUGGAUAGGGGAACUGAGAGGUUUAUCCCCCAACUGGUACUGAGACACGGACCAGACUCCUACGGGAGGCAGCAGUGAGGAAUAUUGGUCAAUGGGCGCAAGCCUGAACCAGCCACGUCGCGUGAAGGAAGACGGCCCUACGGGUUGUAAACUUCUUUUGUAAGGGAAUAAAGUGUAUACGUGUACUAUUUUGCAUGUACCUUACGAAUAAGGAUCGGCUAACUCCGUGCCAGCAGCCGCGGUAAUACGGAGGAUCCGAGCGUUAUCCGGAAUUAUGGGGUUUAACAGGGUUGCGGCAAGGCCGGGGGAGAUUUAAAGGUCCGGGGCGGGGUUGAAAAUUUUUUGGGGCCAAGGUUCCAAAACUUUGGGUGAAACAAAGGUUGGGCCUUUUUCCGGAA
rnacentral:rRNA from 1 species